CUAGCCUCAACAAUUCCUUGAAACCCAUGCCAUACAUCUUGGGAGCUAAAAAUCCUAUUUAUCUUCACCAUUUAUUUCCCCUCCUUCUCAUUUGAGUGCAUCAAAUAAAUUCCAUUCUAUCUCUCAAAAUAUUGCACUCAAACCAGAAACUAUCCUUUUUGGGAAUUAUCUUUAAAUAUAUUUUCCUUCCGAAAUUUCCUAUUCAAAUUCCCUCCAAAUUCAAAUCCCAUCCUUUAAAUCCCUACAAAAUUAUAAAACUCUCCUAUUCGCAUUGGGCCGAAAACUCCUCUUUUCCUUUCGGCCCAGACCAGCCCAAGCCGGCCCAGCUAAGCAAGCCGAGCCGCUCCUUCUUUCUGUGGGCGCCGCCGCCGUGCGCCAUGGGGGCGCGUGGCAUACGCGCGCAUGCACAGCCGCGCCGCCACCGUCGCCCGCAGCUUUGCGCCGCCGUCGUCGUCUUGCCGUCGACGCGAAGGAACCGCCGCUCUACGUCAGCUACACCUCAUCCCGCCGACGUCAGCAGCAGGGACGAACCGCCAUCACCGGCCAAUCAUCGAACAGAGCCGGCGCCGUGUUCCUCUUCUCCACGCCGCCGUCGCCAUGCCCUCCUUCUCCUCCUCCUCUGCGAACCGACAUCCGCUGCCUAUAAAUAGCCGGCGAGAUCGUCCUCUCCUCCCCACAUCAGAGCUUUAAGCUCUUCUUCUUCUCUCUCCUCCCAUGUCUGGCCAUCGCCGCCGACGGUCGAUCUCCUCCCUCGUAGCUUCUCUAUCCUUUUCCUUGCGCCACUAUGAUGGCCUCCCUCCGGCAAACCUAUUUCACCCAUUUCCCCUUUCUCUCCCACCGCCAUCUCCCAUACCGGCCGAAAGCGAGCCCUUGUCGCCGCCGUUCCGGCCUCCUUCCCCAUCUCCUUCGCUGGCCGACCACUUCCCCGGGUGCGCGUCGCUCGGGAACACUACCGGUCGCCGGCGUCGCCACCUUCCCACCACCGGAGCCCCGGCGCCCCCUCUCCUCCUCCUCUCUGUUCGACCGAAGAGGAGGAGGAGGAAGAGACGGGAGGAAGAAGAAGGAGAAAAGAAAAAGAAAGAUUGACAGUAGAGUCUAUUAUAUUUGGAUGGCAACCUGUGGUAUUUCGAGCAUCGGAUAAUCAGGUUGUCUAUCUCGGAUUUAUUUGCAUUAGAGCAAGGCAAGUUAUUAUUCCUCCCCUUGAGCGUAAUUAUCCUAUAUUCUAUAUUUCUAUUCUAUGCAUUAGCCAUUCAUGAUUUUGAAUGCAUAACUUGAACAUAUAGCAAACCAGAUAUAUGCUAGCUUUGCUUAGCCCUGCCUAGCAUAAAAUAUAAUGAACUUAGAUUGGAACAGUACAGUAGAUAUGGUUGAUUUCCGGGUGGCUAGUAUUGUUCCAACCGAUAUAAGACUGCCCAAAUACUUGUGAAGAACAAAGGAGUACGGCCACAGUUCUAGAAUGCAAACAGUCCUAGUUAUUAUGUUAUUUAACAAUGUGGUACCUAUGUACAGUGGUUCUUGUUUAAGUCCUCGUGCAGGAGGCAAACUUAUGCCGAGCAAGGCAAUAUUGUGAUAUUUACCGAGGCGCAAGUAAAUAUUGGUUUGAGAUAAAUUAUGAUGUCAUAUAUGACUUAUUUGUAAACCCUAAUUGCGAUGACAUGGUGUCAUACAAUCAGUUCUCUCUAAAUACCCCGGGAACGCCAGAACUCCUCACGCUGCUGAUAACGUACGUUCAGAGCGUAUGAGGACUAGAGUUCAUGGAACAGGUGCCACUAUUAUUAGUAACCUAAUGUUGGGCCAUGACUGAAGCUGAUGAUUAUCGGCAAGUCGUGGGCUAUGGGUAAAGCGUACAUUUACUGCAGUAAAGUGAAAGUGAAUCUAUUCGAAUAACCAUGCUCAUGGAUUUGAGCAUUGAGACUCAUGGUAUUUGGUUACAAACCUAAUUCAAGAUUUUACUAAAUACUGCUGCAUUAAAACCAUCACAGGCUUUCUUCUUCUACAUUCUCCGCUUUCUGCAAGUAAAUCUAGCCCUACUCAAAUACUGCUAUCUCAUACAUUCAUAUGGAAUAUAAUAGCUUGCUGAGUACGUUGUACUCACCCUUGCUUUACCCUACCCCACCUUUUUCAGAGUCAUUUUGGAGUUCUUAUUGAAGUCGGGAGUUCAAUCACAUAAGUUAGUUCCCUUUAAACCUAAUCCUUGAGUCUAGUAUAGUUAGAUGGUUUAAUUCUAUAGCAAAACGGCAGAGUUGGGUCAUCGUAUAGCUUCUGUUGUAAUAGUUAGCCACAAACUUGUAAAUGUCGUAUUAUUUUAUAUAAAGAAAUCUCCUUUGGAGCCUUGUCAAAAUGUAUGCAAUGAAGAUCCAGAUUGUUGAACAUGUAUCAA